AUAACAAUAGUUUCAAGAGUUUAUAACUGUCGUGAGGCAUGUCAGCUUAACUCCUUCCUCUCUUGCUCAUCGCGUUUGAAACUUCCACAGAGCGUAGAGUUUACUCAGUUCAUACAAAGUUUUGUACUUUGUGCGUCAGAGUUUUUCAGAUUUCAAACAAAAAAACAAAAAAAAACACCAUAAAUUAACUGGUUUAUUGGUGAUUGACGUGAGUAGCCACAUGUGAUAGCAAGUGCCCUUAUCAACGGUAGGGGUUAACUUAUGGAGGCCAGCUUGUAUCUUUGAAGUUAUUCUAAAGGGCCAGUUCUGUUACAGCAGGCAGCUCUCUGAAGCUGUGGCUCAAGGUCCCAAAGUACAGGAAUUAAAACAUUUUUCCCACCUCCUGCACUGACAGGAACGUACUAAAUCGCUCUGGCAAAAAAGAGAUAAUCGCUAGGUCUCCUCCACUGAUGAGUUUUUUUUUUAGUUCAAACAUGACGAAUUAAAAGAACAAUAGACGGAAAGCACAUUACAGCAAACGAAUAACUUUGCAUUGAUGCAUGGAAGUGUAUCUCAGCUUGAGUUGUUUGAAAUUUGGCAACUACUCUCUUUGCUGGGGGAAAGAGAAAAGAACGAAAGAAGAAAGGGACUGAGAGAGGGGGUGGGGUCGGUGGAGUAAGACAGCUACAAGACAAUUGUGCGGGUUCUGUUUUGGACCGAUUUCCCCGAGACUGCUGAUCUGACAUGACGGUCAUGAGCAAACAGUCUCCAGUUCAUACAGUACUACAGAAGCACAUGUCAGCUUUGCAGGAAGCUAGAGAAUACAUGCAGCAUCUCUUCACCUGAGGAGAAGACUUUUCUACCCUGAUCAAAGUGAUUCUGCAGUCUGCCUUGAGGGUCCAGCUGGAACCUUCCAUUCAGCAUAUUUCUGGGUACAGAAACACUAUUCGAGCACUUCAGGAAUGCCUCCAGGAUCAAAGCGAUCAAGAUUCCCGGAGUGUUCGGCAGCUGCCAGGAGAGCUGAGAGCUCAGAGGCCAGGGGAAUCUCCAGGCUUGCAGAGUGGUUGCGAUGCUGGAGCAGUGUGGGGAGACAGAGACUGGCAGCUCGCAGGCAUUCAGAAACAAGUGCAACAAUCUCAGCUUGAGUCCUGUAUGGGAAACGCACCGGACACACUUGGAUCUGCUGUACAAUGUCCCAGCGCCCUUAAAUUCGCUUCCUACUUGCCACUAUACUCAAGCAGCUUGUGUUGAAUUAUCUUUAGAUGUUAGUCUGAAGGCCCCUUAGAAAUGAAUGUAAUUUCAGUCAAAAAUCUUUUUUUCUUAUGUGCAGCUUUCUGAAAAACACUGCAAAAUUAUAUUUAAAGAAAAAUUACUAUCUGAGCCAGCUUGGCUAUUAUUAGAAAUGAUUAUUCUAAUAGAUCCUCAAAUAUUUCUGGACUUGUAACUGGAUAGGGGGGCAGGUUUGAAUCCCAGUGGAGAUAUUGCCUCAGCCAGAUAAAUAAGUAGUUAAUUAAUCAUUCUAAAAUGAUUCGCUUCUUAAGGAGUCAGUAAGAGCUUAACUUCAUUGCAAGUUUUUGCCGUAGCUCUUUGGUCUUCAAAGAUUACAGAAUACGAAUGAAUCAGUCAAUGUGAGGACUGGAUUUUCUAAAACCCCCAGUCUGCAGUCUGCAGGAAUUCCAUGUGGGUGUUCCGUUACAGAGUGUUACUUGCAUGAACCACAUUCUGAUUGAGUCUUGUCUCAGCGCCUACUACACACAGAAAUCGCAGAGGAAUCAAGGAAAAUAGAAAAUGUAAAAAACCCAAAUUGUGAUCUAAACAGGAAACUAAAUUACAGUGUUUCAGCAACCUGUGGGCAAAAGGUCAGUGGAGAUUGCUGGUGAUUACCCUGUGGUGUGUGCUGCAGACAUGUGUGUCAGUCUUAAUAGUGUCUUUCAGGAACAGGCCACAGCUACCUCCCUCCAGGUCCUGGCCACACCCUGCGCUGCUCAGUACCCUGCCUUCACCUCUGGAGACUCUCCCUCACCCACAGGUGCAUGAACCCAUUGACUGAUCGUCAAGGAGUCAGCCAUGACACAUCCAGUGUUCAAUGUAGUAGACUUCGCCACAUCUUCUACCACACAGUAGCUGCACAAGAAUAAAAGACUAUGAAUAAGGUGGGGUGAGUUACAUCUUAGUCCUGAGUUGCAGUUUUUUGGUGUAGUUUUUUGCCCAAGGCAACAUACAAUUCCCAAUGCAAAUGCCUUUUACAGUAUAGAAGUGCAUAGUAUACUGGCAUAGAUCAAUGCAAAAAAGUUAGCAGAAUAUUAAGCAGAGCAGCAACUUGUAGGAUUAAGUCAGUGCCAUAUGAUUGACAUUAUUGUUACUGCGCACCCUGAUCUCAUCAUAUGUCAGGAGCUCAGUAAGGCGGCACUGCACAGUUCUGGGAUAGGAGACCUCUAAGGAAAACCAGGGGGUGGGCCAGUGGGUGGUGCUCUUCUGAACUGAUGCCCCAGUGUGGUGACAGGAGAAACUGUGUUGUAGAAGAUGCUGAGUGGUGGAUGAAAUGAUAAUGAUCUGUGUGGUCAUUAAAGAUCGUUACAGUACAACACGGGUGUUAACCCCGCAUUUCUGAGUUUGCACAGCUGGCCUCCUUCGAUUCCCUCCUUAAUUCAGCUGGUGAAUCACCUGCUUUGCCUUAUCUGCUGUGUACACUGCUGGCAAAGUGCAGGUAGGUGCUGCGCUUCAGGUAUGGACCAAGUCCAAACAUGUGCUUUUACUCAUAUAUGCAAAAGCAGAUUUGAGAUCCUUUGCGAUCCAAUAAUUGUGACACAGAUAUAAGCUAUUAGUAUUGCCGAUACAGGUGCUGGAGUUGUUGUUGUCAUAAACUACACAGCGAAGGAAAAAUAAAGAGAAAGAUGUAUUAAGGGCAAAAGAAGAGGUCAGUGUGGCAGUGCAGGUUACAUCGCUUGUGGGAUCAAGACAGGGAAACAGACUCUAAAUCUGUCCCAGUGGGACCCAAGGCAGUGACCCACUUAGCCCAUAUAGCACCAGUAGAUUCUGGAUUUUUAAAUAUGAACAAUUCAGAAUUAAAUAUGUUGAUGGUUCAUGGUUCUGUUGUACUGUAGGUGUUGCUAAUCAUAUUUGAUAAAUUUGUGAAUAGUUGCAUGAAGAUCUUUAUUAUUGUACUGUAUUUGGACCCAGAACUGAGUUAAAAUGAUUUCAAUUUAAAAUUAAGACAUCACUGGGAAAUUAUCUGCACGCUCUGUACUGUAUUAUCUGUUUGCCCACCCUAAAAUGAUCUGGUUCUCUCUCGUAAUGACCGCUUGCCUCUCUGUUUGUAGGUCACUCUGGGCUGAAAAACACUGUUUGCAGCAAACACAAAACUACAACAACUGGUUGUGGUCGACAGACCACAGAAAAAACGCAGGAAGAACUCGGCAGUUUCCUGCUGAAGUUUUCUGUGGCUCUCGAUGUACCUCGGCGCUGGCUCGGGUGCGCUGACAUGUCGCAUGUGUGCCAGUGUGCAGGCACAGGCCCCCGGUACGGGUGAAUCUGCUGACCCGGGAGCUCGUGGGGUCCUUGUGCCUCGGCUGGCCGGCAGCGCGUGUCCCCGCUCGGCCGCAGUGCCCACGUUCUCAGCGUGAGGUCCCCCUGGGUGCGAGGGCCCCACACCGGACCCGCAGGCAGAGAGCGCUGCACCUUUUCAACAAGACGAUCUCUUGUCACAGCCCCAGGAACAGAGAGCGAGCCUCCCAAAUUACAGUAUUGUCUUUUAAGUCGGUAAAUCUCUAAUAAUAAUGUUUCAUAAUUGUACAUGUUGUUACUAAUUGUUAUUGCUUUGGCAACAUUGUAAUUCAUCGGUCCUGCCAAUAAAGAUCGCUGGAUUUGAAUCUGAGCCCCAGAAAAUAAGGGCCCACACUGUUCCAAAGUUUUUUUUUUUCAUUUUGGAUUAUUUGAGAAGUGUAUGGUUUUGUUAAUUAAAUCUUUACUUUGUGUUAUGCUUUAUGCUCCCCAGCUAGUCUGUAAGAGGUACACUGUUAAAUAUUCCCAAGAACAAUCAAAGAAAUAAACGAUAGGUAUCAAGUAAUCCUAAACUCAAGGCCAUCUAUUCUUUCACACACAGUAGCUCUGAUUUGUUCUUUCAAACAUGAAAUAAUGAAAGGUUUUC